rnacentral:tRNA from 1 species
AAUGUCCUAGUUUAAUAAAAAUAUUUUAUUUACAAUAAGAUGAUUUUUCUUUAGUGAAAAGGAUUUUU